rnacentral:rRNA from 1 species
UACGUAGGGUGCAAGCGUUAUCCGGAAUUAUUGGGCGUAAAGAGCUCGUAGGCGGUUUGUCGCGUCUGCCGUGAAAGUCCGGGGCUCAACUCCGGAUCUGCGGUGGGUACGGGCAGACUAGAGUGAUGUAGGGGAGACUGGAAUUCCUGGUGUAGCGGUGAAAUGCGCAGAUAUCAGGAGGAACACCGGUGGCGAAGGCGGUUCUCUGGGCAUUACCUGACGCUGAGGAGCGAAAGCGUGGGGAGCGAACAGG